ensembl:lncRNA
UGAAGAACAGGCGUUCAGGAAGGGUUUGCCAUAGGUAGUUCAGCACAUCUGAAAUCCAGCACCGCAUGCUUGAAAGCCUAGACUUCCUUCUCUGUAGCCUCUCAAGGUCUGGAGAUUGCUGCCCAUCUCCCGCAGCACAUUCUGGAGCUUACGACGUUUGCUGAAGAGGUACGGAGUGCAGACCCAGGGGGGAAAUGGCGCUGUGCUUUGAGGCAGGUGGACUCCCAGCGUACCGUGGGGCAUCAGACCUGACUGAGGGAGAGAGCUGGAAAAUUAUUUAUGCCUGGUGAAAUGUGGCGUGCGG